CUUUUGCUGGCGACCGGCGCACGGGUGAGUAACACGUAUCCAACCUGCCCUUUACUCGGGGAUAGCCUUUCGAAAGAAAGAUUAAUACCCGAUAGCAUAAUGAUUCCGCAUGGUUUCAUUAUUAAAGGAUUCCGGUAAAGGAUGGGGAUGCGUUCCAUUAGGUUGUUGGUGAGGUAACGGCUCACCAAGCCUUCGAUGGAUAGGGGUUCUGAGAGGAAGGUCCCCCACAUUGGAACUGAGACGCGGUCCAA
rnacentral:rRNA from 1 species